rnacentral:rRNA from 1 species
AGUCUGCAUGGAGCCGGCCUUGAAAUACCACCCUUUAAUGUUUGAUGUUCUAACGUUGACCCGUGAUCCGGGUUGCGGACAGUGUCUGGUGGGUAGUUUGACUGGGGCGGUCUCCUCCUAAAGAGUAACGGAGGAGCACGAAGGUUGGCUAAUCCUGGUCGGACAUCAGGAGGUUAGUGCAAUGGCAUAAGCCAGCUUGACUGCGAGCGUGACGGCGCGAGCAGGUGCGAAAGCAGGUCAUAGUGAUCCGGUGGUUCUGAAUGGAAGGGCCAUCGCUCAACGGAUAAAAGGUACUCCGGGGAUAACAGGCUGAUACCGCCCAAGAGUUCAUAUCGACGGCGGUGUUUGGCACCUCGAUGUCGGCUCAUCACAUCCUGGGGCUGAAGUAGGUCCCAAGGGUAUGGCUGUUCGCCAUUUAAAGUGGUACGCGAGCUGGGUUUAGAACGUCGUGAGACAGUUCGGUCCCUA